rnacentral:rRNA from 1 species
GACGAACGCUGGCGGCGUGCCUAACACAUGCAAGUCGAACGGGGUACACGUUUUCGGAUGUGUGCUUAGUGGCGAACGGGUGAGUAACGCGUGAGCAACCUACCCUUCAGAGGGGGACAACAGCUGGAAACGGCUGCUAAUACCGCAUGACGUAUCGAGGGGGCAUCUUCUUGAUACCAAAGAAUUUCGCUGAAGGAUGGGCUCGCGUCUGAUUAGAUAGUUGGUGAGGUAACGGCCCACCAAGUCUGCGAUCAGUAGCCGGACUGAGAGGUUGAACGGCCACAUUGGGACUGAGAUACGGCCCAGACUCCUACGGGAGGCAGCAGUGGGGAAUAUUGGGCAAUGGGCGAAAGCCUGACCCAGCAACGCCGCGUGCAGGAAGAAGGCCUCGGUUGUAACUAGCUUUGUUCUAGGAAGAAAUACUUCUUGGCGUAAUACCCCGGGAACGGACGUAGACGGUACCGUCGUAAGAAUAAAGACACCGGCCUAACUAACCGUAGCCAGCAGCCGCGGUAAACGUACUAC